GGGGUCAUAGCUCAGUUGGUAGAGCGCUACGAUGGCAUUGUAGAGGUCAGGGGUUCGAUUCCCCUUGGCUCCACCA
rnacentral:tRNA from 2 species